rnacentral:rRNA from 1 species
UACGAAGGGGGCUAGCGUUGCUCGGAAUCACUGGGCGUAAAGGGUGCGUAGGCGGGUUUUAAGUCAGGGGUGAAAUCCUGGAGCUCAACUCCAGAACUGCCUUUGAUACUGAAGAUCUUGAGUCCGGGAGAGGUGAGUGGAACUGGCGAGUGUAGAGGUGAAAUUCGAUAGAUAUUCGCAAGAACACCAGUGGCGAAGGCGGCUCACUGGCCCGGUACUGACGCUGAGGCACGAAAGCGUGGGGAGCAAACAGGG